rnacentral:rRNA from 1 species
GCGUGGGUAACCGUGCCUUAUACAGGGGGAGUAACAGUCAGAAAUAGGCUGCUAAUACCGCAUAAGCGCACAGAGCUGCAUGGCUCAGUGUGAAAAACUCCGGUGGUAUAAGAUGGACCCGCGUUGGAUUAGCUAGUUGGUGAGGUAACGGCCUACCAAGGCGACGAUCCAUAGCCGGCCCUGAGAGGGUGAACGGCCACAUUGGGACUGAGACACGGCCCAGACUCCUACGGGAGGCAGCAUG